rnacentral:tRNA from 1 species
AGGGCAGUGGCUCAACGGCUAGAGCAGCGGUCUCCAAAACCGCAGGUUGCAGGUUCGAAUCCUGCCUGCCCUGCCA